rnacentral:rRNA from 1 species
UACGGAGGAUCCAAGCGUUAUCCGGAUUUAUUGGGUUUAAAGGGUGCGUAGGCGGCUUUUUAAGUCAGCGGUGAAAUACUUCAGCUCAACUGGAGUCGUGCCGUUGAUACUGGGAAGCUUGAGUACUGAUGAAGUGGGCGGAAUUGAAGGUGUAGCGGUGAAAUGCAUAGAUAUCUUCAAGAACACCGAUUGCGAAGGCAGCUCACUAAGGAGUAACUGACGCUGAGGCACGAAAGCGUGGGUAGCAAACAGG